AUGCUUGUUGAGACAAACAAGCAUGAACAAUAUCAUAUUGUUUAUAAGCUUCUUAAGUUGGUAUUGAUUCUGCCAGUAGCUACUGCUAGUGUUGAAAGGGUGUUCUCUUCAAUGAGCCAUGUGAAGAAUAAGCCAAGGAACAAAAUGGGUGAUGAAUAUUUAAAAAUUGUUUAG
rnacentral:rRNA from 1 species